UACAGAGGGUGCGAGCGUUGUUCGGAAUUAUUGGGCGUAAAGAGCUCGUAGGCGGUCUGUCGCGUCGAAUGUGAAAACCCGGGGCUCAACUCCGGGCCUGCAUUCGAUACGGGCAGACUAGAGUUCGGUAGGGGAGUCUGGAAUUCCUGGUGUAGCGGUGAAAUGCGCAGAUAUCAGGAGGAACACCGGUGGCGAAGGCGGGACUCUGGGCCGAUACUGACGCUGAGGAGCGAAAGCGUGGGGAGCAAACAGG
rnacentral:rRNA from 1 species